rnacentral:rRNA from 1 species
UGGGGAAUAUUGCACAAUGGGCGCAAGCCUGAUGCAGCCAUGCCGCGUGUGUGAAGAAGGCCUUCGGGUUGUAAAGCACUUUCAGCGAGGAGGAAGGUGGUGAGCUUAAUACGCUCAUCAAUUGACGUUACUCGCAGAAGAAGCACCGGCUAACUCCGUGCCAGCAGCCGCGGUAAUACGGAGGGUGCAAGCGUUAAUCGGAAUUACUGGGCGUAAAGCGCACGCAGGCGGUUUGUUAAGUCAGAUGUGAAAUCCCCGGGCUCAACCUGGGAACUGCAUUUGAAACUGGCAAGCUAGAGUCUCGUAGAGGGGGGUAGAAUUCCAGGUGUAGCGGUGAAAUGCGUAGAGAUCUGGAGGAAUACCGGUGGCGAAGGCGGCCCCCUGGACGAAGACUGACGCUCAGGUGCGAAAGCGUGGGAGCAAACAGGAUUAGAUACCCUGGUAGUCCACGCUGUAAACGAUGUCGAUUUUGGAGGUUGUGCCCUUGAGGCGUGGCUUCCGGAGCUAACGCGUUAAAUCGACCGCCUGGGGAGUACGGCCGCAAGGUUAAAACU